CCUACGGGGGGCAGCAGUGGGGAAUAUUGGACAAUGGGGGCAACCCUGAUCCAGCCAUGCCGCGUAUGUGAAGAAGGCCCUCGGGUUGUAAAGCACUUUCAGUGAGGAAGAACGCCUGGUGGUUAAUACCCAUCAGGAAAGACAUCACUCACAGAAGAAGCACCGGCUAACUCCGUGCCAGCAGCCGCGGUAAUACGGAGGGUGCGAGCGUUAAUCGGAAUUACUGGGCGUAAAGCGCGCGUAGGUGGCUUGAUAAGCCGGUUGUGAAAGCCCCGGGCUCAACCUGGGAACGGCAUCCGGAACUGUCAAGCUAGAGUGCAGGAGAGGAAGGUAGAAUUCCCGGUGUAGCGGUGAAAUGCGUAGAGAUCGGGAGGAAUACCAGUGGCGAAGGCGGCCUUCUGGACUGACACUGACACUGAGGUGCGAAAGCGUGGGUAGCAAACAGGAUUAGAUACCCUAGUAGUC
rnacentral:rRNA from 1 species